rnacentral:rRNA from 1 species
GUGAAAUUGUUGAAAGGGAAACGCUUCAAGUCAGUUGUCUCCUUUGGAAAUCAACCUGACCUUGGUUGGGUGCACUUUCCACUGGAAAGGGUCAGCAUCAAUUUUGACCGUUGGAUAAAGUCCUUGGGAAUGUGGCAUCUUCGGAUGUGUUAUAGACCAGGGUUCACAUGCAAUGGUUGAGAUUGUGGAACUCAGUGUGACAUUUUAUGUUUGGAGUCUUUUGGCUCACAAUCACGCACUUAGGAUGCUGGCAUAAUGGCUUCAAUCGACCCGUCUUGAAACACGGACCAAGGAGUCUAACAUGCAUGCGAGUGUUUGGGUGAAAACUCAAGCGCGAAAUGAAAGUGAAAGUUGAGAACCCUGUCAUGGGGUGCAUUGACGCCCGGACCUGACCUUUUGUGAUGGAUCUGCGGUAGAGCAUGUUUGUUGGGACCCGAAAGAUGGUGAACUAUGCCUGAAUAGGGUGAAGCCAGAGGAAACUCUGGUGGAAGCUCGUAGCGAUUCUGACGUGCAAAUCGAUCGUUGAAUUUGGGUAUAGGGGCGAAAGACUAAUCGAACCAUCUAGUAGCUGGUUCCCGCCGAAGUUUCCCUCAGGAUAGCAGACACUCAUUGAAUCAGAUUUAUGUGGUAAAGCGAAUGAUUAGAGGCCUUGGGGUUGAAACAACCUUAACCUAUUCUCAAACUUUAAAUAUGUAAGAUGAAACUGUUUCUUAAUUGAACUGUUUCGCGAUUGAAGAGUGUCUAGUGGGCCAUUUUUGGUAAGCAGAACUGGCGAUGCGGGAUGAACCGAACGUGAGGUUAAGGUGCCGGAAUCUACGCUCAUCAGACACCACAAAAGGUGUUAGUUCAUCUAG